rnacentral:misc_RNA from 1 species
AACGCACAUUGCGCCUCUUGGUAUUCCUUGAGGCAUGCCUGUUCGAGCGCCGUUUGGCUAUCCUAAAGCUUUGCUUUGUGUUGAAUCUCGUCAUUUGUGACGGAUUUCAAAUAACUUUGCCUAAGCUGGCUUGCGUGAAGCAGUGAAAGUGCUAAACGUUUGUAUCCAGCGAGGGCAUGUCAAACGAUCGCAUGGCCUCGAAUCAGGUAGGGCUACCCGCUGAACUUAA